GACGAACGCUGGCGGCGUGCCUAAUACAUGCAAGUAGAACGCUGACUACUUUAGCUUGCUAGAGUAGAAGGAGUUGCGAACGGGUGAGUAACGCGUAGGUAACCUGCCUACUAGCGGGGGAUAACUAUUGGAAACGAUAGCUAAUACCGCAUAACAGUGUUUAACACAUGUUAGAUGCUUGAAGGAUGCAAUUGCAUCACUAGUAGAUGGACCUGCGUUGUAUUAGCUAGUUGGUGGGGUAAAGGCCUACCAAGGCAAUGAUGCGUAGCCGAGUUGAGAGACUGAUCGGCCACAUUGGGACUGAGACACGGCCCAG
rnacentral:rRNA from 1 species